rnacentral:rRNA from 1 species
AACGAACGCUGGCGGCAUGCCUAACACAUGCCAGUCGAACGAGACCUUCGGGUCUAGUGGCGCACGGGUGCGUAACGCGUGGGAACCUGCCCUUAGGUUCGGAAUAACUCCCCGAAAGGGGUGCUAAUACCGGAUAAUGUCUUCGGACCAAAGAUUUAUCGCCUUUGGAUGGGCCCGCGUUGGAUUAGCUAGUUGGUAGGGUAAAAGCCUACCAAGGCGACGAUCCAUAGCUGGUCUGAGAGGAUGAUCAGCCACACUGGGACUGAGACACGGCCCAGACUCCUACGGGAGGCAGCAGUUGGGAAUAUUGGACAAUGGGCGAAAGCCUGAUCCAGCAAUGCCGCGUGAGUGAUGAAGGCCUUAGGGUUGUAAAGCUCUUUUACCCGGGAUGAUAAUGACAGUACCGUGAGAAUAAGCUCCGGCUAACUCCGUG